UACGAAGGGGGCUAGCGUUGCUCGGAAUUACUGGGCGUAAAGGGCGCGUAGGCGGACCUUUAAGUUAGAGGUGAAAGCCCAGGGCUCAACCCUGGAACAGCCUUUAAUACUGGAUGUCUUGAGUUCGGGAGAGGUGAGUGGAACUCCGAGUGUAGAGGUGAAAUUCGUAGAUAUUCGGAAGAACACCAGUGGCGAAGGCGACUCACUGGCCCGAUACUGACGCUGAGGCGCGAAAGCGUGGGGAGCAAACAGG
rnacentral:rRNA from 1 species